rnacentral:rRNA from 1 species
UAGCACAGAGGAGCUUGCUCCUCGGGUGACGAGUGGCGGACGGGUGAGUAAUGUCUGGGAAACUGCCCGAUGGAGGGGGAUAACUACUGGAAACGGUAGCUAAUACCGCAUAACGUCGCAAGACCAAAGUGGGGGACCUUCGGGCCUCACACCAUCGGAUGUGCCCAGAUGGGAUUAGCUAGUAGGCGGGGUAACGGCCCACCUAGGCGACGAUCCCUAGCUGGUCUGAGAGGAUGACCAGCCACACUGGAACUGAGACACGGUCCAGACUCCUACGGGAGGCAGCAGUGGGGAAUAUUGCACAAUGGGCGCAAGCCUGAUGCAGCCAUGCCGCGUGUAUGAAGAAGGCCUUCGGGUUGUAAAGUACUUUCAGCGGGGAG